GAUCAAUGUUUCGGUCAUGCCGUUGGUAUGUACUGAUAUUAUUGGUUUCUCACCUUCUAAAGAACCGUAAUGCCAUUAAUUUGGUGUCAUGGGGAAUUAGGACUGUUACCUUGAAAAUUAGAGUGUUUAAAGCAGGCUCACGCUUGAAUACAUUAGCAUGGAAUAAUGAAAUAGGACAUCCGAUUCUAUUUUGUUGGUUUCCAGGAUCGAUGUAAUGAUUAAUAGGGAUAGUUGGG
rnacentral:rRNA from 1 species